ACUGUGUAUAAGGUUGGGGAAACAUGCAGCGAGCUGAGACUGAAGAAGUCACUUGGAUGAGUAAUGAAACCCUUCUCUCACUAAAAAAGCUACGUCCAAAUGAACAGAAACAACCUUUUGGUGGCAAAAGCUCUAGUGUGGUCGCAAAACAAAAACCUAGAAACUUGGCUUGAUACAAAGUACACUACAAGGCUGAGAAUCCUGCGUGGCAGCCUGAAGAACAUUACAGAACAUUUCAUAAGCAGUGACUGGUUGUGUGGUGCUUGCGGAGUGCACUAGAGUGAGAGAGAGAGAAAAGGUGUUGGUGGGUGCAUAGUUUGGGCCAGAGGUUACACUGACUACUGAAAUGGAGUGGCGGAGUGGCUUACUUGGGCAGAAAGAGGCUGAGGCUCAGAGGGGGAGGCAGAGGUCCAAGUGGGUGGCAGAGGAGUGACCUGAGUUUUCUAGGCCCCUGUGUGGGAUGGUGAUGGCAGGAGGGCAGGCAGGUAGUGCGGUUUGUGGUACUCCCUGGAUUGUGGCUGAGAAUCCUGAGAGGUUUUGUGUCCAGAAUCCAAAAAGGUGAACCUUAAUGGUGGUGUCAUGGUGUAGCGGGCUGGCAGAGCUAGGAGAGAAGAUGACAAGAUUUCAUCUUACAAGCUGAUGAGGUAGGCCCUCGUUGAUGCAAGUUCCCAGCAGAAACAUGCUUACUGUAUGAUUCAGGGGGAAAGGUCUUGUACCUGGUGAGCAGCUGUGGGCCUUCAACCCGGAGAGAAAGAUAAGCCAUUCUCUUAAACUGAUGAGCCAGGCCCCAGCACCAACCCUAGACUCUCAACCCAACUUGAGAGACCACUGAGGAAUCGUCUAAUCUGACUCAAUGACAGUGUCACCUCCCCCAACAUGUCAAAGAUUUUGACAC